GUGGGGGAUAUUGCACAAUGGAGGAAACUCUGAUGCAGCGACGCCGCGUGAGGGAAGAAGGUUUUCGGAUUGUAAACCUCUGUCUUCGGGGACGAAACAAAUGACGGUACCCAAGAAGGAAGCCCCGGCUAACUACGUGCCAGCAGCCGCGGUAAUACGUAGGGGGCAAGCGUUGUCCGGAAUGAUUGGGCGUAAAGGGCGCGUAGGCGGCCUGGUAAGUCUGGAGUGAAAGUCCUGCUUUUAAGGUGGGAAUUGCUUUGGAUACUGUCGGGCUUGAGUGCAGGAGAGGUAAGUGGAAUUCCCGGUGUAGCGGUGAAAUGCGUAGAGAUCGGGAGGAACACCAGUGGCGAAGGCGACUUACUGGACUGUAACUGACGCUGAGGCGCGAAAGUGUGGGGAGCAAACAGGAUUAGAUACCCUAGUAGUCC
rnacentral:rRNA from 1 species